ensembl:lncRNA
ACACAACCGACCAAACUCUUCCAUAGUGCAGUUCCACUCCUUUCAUUCUUGAGUCAUUGGAGUUGCACCAGGAAUAAAUUUGACCAAUUAGUUAGCAACAGUUGUGAAAUGUUGCAGAUUAUAGUUUUAGAGUAUUAAAAUACUCAAAAGCAACUGCAGUGAUAUAGGAGCCUGUCUGAAUCCUAGUGUGACUGAAAACCUUACUUGGAUUCUGGUAUCACACAAAUGCUUGGGGUAGAGUGGCCCUUGGUCUUCAAUAAGAACACAAUCACAUUUAGAGGUUAAUUUUGAAUGACUUCUUUUUUCUGUUUGUUUAAUUGUCCAGGUUCCAGGCCCAAUGUCAUUGUGUUUUCUAAUGACCCUGCAGUUUGCACCAUGGGGUGUUGUUAAUAGUUUAUGCACUGAAAAGUGGUGAAAGAAUUGCUUAAGAACACACUGCUCUGUGUUUGCGUGUACAUACGUAUGUGUCCCAAUGUCAAGCAUGUUUAAUUUACUUUUUUUUUUGUUUUAAAUCUCCAAAAUUCUUCCCCCCCACUCCUACCCCUGGAGCAGCACUUUUGGGUGAGAGGGAGAAACACUCUUCUUUCCUUCCUCUUUAUUGUUUUAAUUGCAUACCUGUGAGAUACGCAGAUAACGUUAGGGCAUUUGCAGUGUGUGUGUUUGUGUGUUUCUGUUCUGAACUAAUUUUCUAAGCAGAAACUCCCUUUGAAAUAAUGUUUAACAAAAAAGUAAUUAAGAAAUGGUGAACUGGAUGCUCCCUGUUUGCAUUUUAUUUAUCUGCUGAGGUCUAGUAUGUGAAAUAGCAUUUAAAAGACAAAAAUAAAGGUUGAGCCAUAAAGCAAAAGGUAUAUUCCCUGUACUAUAGACUUUCUUCUUGAGGGUGGUGCAUGUUGUCAGGGUAAGCUACAGAACAUGCAGAUGGUUUUUCAGGACCCUGCAAUUCCUUGCACAGUUCUUAAGCUGGUGCAUAUGGUGCUUUAUAAUGCAAUUUCUGAAGUAAAAUUACCUUAUGCUGCACCCCCUUCCCCUUAUAAACACACGCACAAUUUCAGAAUCGUUAUUGUAGCCUCUGGUUUAGCAGUUUCUCCAAAGUGUGGUGAAGUACCAGGAUAAACACUCAAGAGCUGAGAAGCAUCACUGAAAGGGAUCAUUUUAGCUGACACACGUGAAGGGCCCUGCUCCGAACACUGAAUGACUUCUGCAGUCUCCUGGCAGCAGCGCAGUGGUUCUUCUUCUGUGGCUCUGCAGAACACUGGGGGAAAGGGAAGCAACAAAAUGUUCAGUGGCUUUACUAUGGACCUGUGUAGCUAAAUGUUUCUGAAUCUAUGAAAUCCUGUUGUCUUCGGUCAUCAUGCUUUGUCACUGUAAAACCAACGAAAAGAAAAAAAGCAUUUUUUUAGUCUAAUUUAAGGAGCUGCUUCUUUUAUAGCACAUAAUAUUUCGCUUUGUACUAUAUUUGAUAGUUAAAGAAUAAUUUAGUCCAUAGAAUAACUUUGUUGUAUUUGUACUGUUCAUGAAUGUUACAAGAAAAGUGCUUCACUUUGUUGCCAUAAUUCUCUUGUACUGCUGUAAAAUAUUUUUCCUGCUUUAUGGAAACUUAACUCGAUUCACAUUUUCAGUACAGGGUUUUUUGUGUGUAUGUAUUUUUUUUGUCAGUAUUCUGAAUGUUUACAUCUGUUCAACAUUAGCCAUUCUAUGCCUUUAUAGGGCAGUAUUACUCCUGCAGUAUAACAGCAAUGUGAAAUCCACUCGUACCUAACAUGCAUGAGAAAUACAGAUUUAUUGGGGAGAUCCCUAACGUGCAUAGAUAUUUUUUCUAUCUGCAUUCAGUGAAGUAAAUACCCUCCUUCAGUCCUCUACCAAAGAAAAUAUUAUUCCCACAGGACAAGCUCAGAAAGUGGUUCUCUGAAUCUUCAGAAGGGGGUAUAGUUGGUUUCAGCGGGGUUGCUACAGUUCAAUGCUGAUAUGCUUUGCUUUGUUACCCCACCAGAUGUGACUGGGUGAAACAAGCAUUUUAGCAAUUUUUUUGUUUCAGACAGUGUUUUGUUUAGAAUUCAGGGAUCAUGCUUUCUUUAAUGGUGCUGUUUGUUUUAUUUUUAUUUUUUUUUAAGAAAACAACCUUUUGUUGCCUACAGAAAUGACCAUUCACGAAACCAUAAAUUAAAUAAAAUAAUUUGUCUUCGUAACUUCUCUCUUCUCCCUUUCCUUUUCCCCUUCCUUAUCCCUUGAAAAUAACAACUUGGGCUUCGAUAUUAAAAUAUUCUGAAAAAAAAAAAUAAAGAGAUAAAC